ensembl:rRNA 5S_rRNA 5S ribosomal RNA
UCCAGCUCAGGCUGUGAUCUUGUCAGAUCUCACAAACUAAGCAGGUCAAACUUGGAGAGUAAUUAGAUAGGAGACCUCUGAGGAAAACCCAGGUGCUGUAU